rnacentral:tRNA from 1 species
GAGAUAUUAGUAAAAAUUACAUAACUUUGUCAAAGUUAAGUUAUAGAUUAAGCCUCUAUAUAUCUCU